UACGGAGGGUGCGAGCGUUGUCCGGAAUCACUGGGCGUAAAGGGCGCGUAGGCGGCUUGGGAAGUCUGUGGUGAAAGCUCGUGGCUCAACUGCGAGUCGGCCAUAGAUACUCCUAAGCUCGAGUCGACUAGAGGCAGAUGGAAUUCCGGGUGUAGCGGUGGAAUGCGUAGAGAUCCGGAAGAACACCGGUGGCGAAGGCGGUCUGCUGGGGUCGAACUGACGCUGAGGCGCGACAGCGUGGGGAGCAAACAGG
rnacentral:rRNA from 1 species